rnacentral:lncRNA from 1 species
AAUUAUAAUUAUGAGCACAAUCGUCAAUAGGCUAACGAUUGGCUUUGGGACAUAUUUCCCAACAAAAAUAGCUGAAAGCCAUAUUAAGAAGAAAAAGACUCUACUUCUUCUUGUGGGUAAAAUCUCUAAAAAGAAAUUAGGCUCUAAGGGUUUAAAGAAAGCAUUGAACCCUAAGGGUGGCAAGAUGAAGAAGAAGGAGAAGACAGUCUCCAGAUAAGGUACAUACUUUCACU